UCGAGAAUCUUCGGCAAUGGGGGAAACCCUGACCGAGCGACGCCGCGUGUGGGAUGAAGGCCCUUGGGUUGUAAACCACUGUCAGAGGGGAUGAAGUGCCAGAAAGCUAUCUUUCUGGUUUGACAUAGCCUCAGAGGAAGCACGGGCUAAGUUCGUGCCAGCAGCCGCGGUAAGACGAACUGUGCAAACGUUAUUCGGAAUCACUGGGCUUGAAGAGUGCGUAGGCGGUUUCGUAAGUAGGGUGUGAAAGCCCCCGGCCCAACCGGGGAACUGCGCCCUAAACUGCGAGGCUGGAGUGAGGUAGGGGUGUGUGGAACUUCCAGUGGAGCGGUGAAAUGUGUUGAUAUUGGAAGGAACGCCGGUGGCGAAAGCGACACACUGGACCUUGUCUGACGCUGAGGCACGAAAGCCAGGGGAGCAAACGGG
rnacentral:rRNA from 1 species